AUUCACUUUCAUUGUAAGUGCCUCACUGUAACCUUUAAAGAAAAGAUGAGUACAGUCAAAAUUUACUUUGGUGGUAAUCAGCAUUAUACCACAAAUGAGGCCGAUUGAGCUUAACUUGUAUUGAACCCAGAACAUUCCUUUAACAAUAAGUCCAAAAAUCUGCAUUAAGAAAGUAAAAAGGAUCCAUUUUGAUUCCAUGUUCACAUAAAUGUGGUUGGUAAAAAGAUUGGACCCUUAAAUUGAACUCCCAAAUCUCAUACAGUGCAUGUGUAAUACAUCAUUCAUCGCACAAAAAUCAUUUUAACCCUAUUACCACUCCAGGGGAGAGUUAAUAUUCAAAACAGUCCCUUAAAAAUCUCAAAGAUACGUCAUAAUGGGUACUACGACGUCAUAUGCGAGCUCGACUCAUCAGUGGGUCGAUAUGAAACUUCCUCCCCGCAUCAGGUGCAGAAGCGCUGGCGCUGGAUUUCAAAACAAUCGGCCGCAUGCUGCCCUGUCAUGAGCUCCAAAACCCCAGUCAGUCUUACUCAUGUGUGCUGUCCAGUGCCAGUUCAUCUUGUGUGACUUGUGUAAUCAGUCGGUCCUGUUUCUGAUUCCACUGUUCGGUCCGGUUGGUCCUGAAUCUGAUUCCCCGACUGUCUGUCCCAGUCUAGCGCCGAGAAAAUAUUCUGCGCUGGAUGGAGUUUUUUCCCCUAAAGUGUGCUAACACGGCAACCUCCACCACCCCACCACCAACAGUUGAGUCCCAUCCUGCACAGGGGUAGGCUCCUCGCCCCUGCCUCCUGUCUCCGGGAGGAUAUGUUCCGAGUACAACUUCUUCGGACCACCAGAUGGGGCUUACGCCAAAGAGAGACAUUACAUUUUCUGUUUUAUAUUCAUCAAAUAAAUAUAAUCUUGAAUUUCACUCAAGUCUGCAAGGCUUCCUGAUAGAAGUCAUCUUCUGC